rnacentral:rRNA from 1 species
UGGGGAAUAUUGGACAAUGGGCGAAAGCCUGAUCCAGCCAUGCCGCGUGUGUGAAGAAGGUCUUCGGAUUGUAAAGCACUUUAAGUUGGGAGGAAGGGCAGUAAGCGAAUACCUUGCUGUUUUGACGUUACCGACAGAAUAAGCACCGGCUAACUCUGUGCCAGCAGCCGCGGUAAUACAGAGGGUGCAAGCGUUAAUCGGAAUUACUGGGCGUAAAGCGCGCGUAGGGGGUUCGUUAAGUUGAAUGUGAAAGCCCCGGGCUCAACCUGGGAACUGCAUCCAAAACUGGCGAGCUAGAGUAGGGCAGAGGGUGGUGGAAUUUCCUGUGUAGCGGUGAGAUGCGUAGAUAUAGGAAGGAACACCAGUGGCGAAGGCGACCACCUGGGCUCAUACUGACACUGAGGUGCGAAAGCGUGGGGCGCAAACAGG